GGUUGUGGCUCAGUGGUACAGCACUCGCCUCGCACGUGAGAGACCCUGGGUUCCAUCCUCAGCACCA
rnacentral:tRNA from 1 species